CGUCUCUGUACCUAGAAGCAUGGCGUUUAGGACCCAGAGGAAGCUCCUGGGCGGUCCACCGGGCAGUGAGAGAUUCCCCCUCCCUCCCUCGGUGUGCAGCUCAGAUGUCCCGGUAGUCUGUAGUCGUCUGUAGUCGUGGCUCUGGCGCUCCGCAUCCACCAUCUGCGGCAGCAGGGGCUGGCGGCCCAGGCCCCUGCCCAGCCCCUUCCUUCAACCCCAUGUCUCAGCCUUAACCUGGCUGCCCUCCCCAUCGGGGGACAUUUCUCGGUGCCCCUUGCCCGCCCCGUCCAACUCGGGCGCCAUGAAUGACCAGUAUCACCGGGCCGCCAGGGAUGGCUAUCUGGAGCUCCUCAAGGAAGCCACCCGGAAGGAGCUGAAUGCCCCUGACGAAGAUGGCAUGACCCCGACCCUCUGGGCUGCCUACCAUGGCAACCUGGAAUCGCUGCGCCUCAUUGUGAGCCGCGGGGGUGACCCGGAUAAGUGUGACAUCUGGGGAAACACACCCUUGCAUCUGGCAGCUUCCAAUGGCCACCUGCACUGCCUGUCCUUCCUCGUGUCCUUCGGGGCCAACAUCUGGUGCCUGGACAAUGACUACCACACGCCGCUGGACAUGGCCGCGAUGAAGGGCCACAUGGAGUGCGUGCGCUAUCUGGACUCCAUCGCGGCCAAGCAAAGCAGCCUCAACCCCAAGCUGGUGGGCAAGCUGAAGGACAAGGCCUUCCGCGAGGCGGAGCGGCGCAUCCGCGAGUGCGCCAAGAUGCAACGCAAGCACCACGAGCGGAUGGAGCGUCGCUACCGGCGCGAGCUGGCCGAGCGCUCCGACACGCUCAGCUUCUCCAGCCUCACGUCCAGCACCCUGAGCCGCCGGCUGCAGCACAUGACGCUGGGCAGCCAGCUGCCCUACUCGCAGGCCACGCUGCACGGCACGGCCAAGGGCAAGGCCAAGAUCCAGAAGAAGCUGGAGAGGCGCAAGCAGGGGGGCGAGGGCACCUUCAAAGUCUCCGAGGACGGGCGCAAAAGCGUCCGAUCGCUCUCGGGCCUGCAGCUGGGUAGCGAUGUGAUGUUUGUUCGCCAAGGCACCUACGCCAACCCCAAGGAGUGGGGCCGUGCCCCACUCAGGGACAUGUUCCUCUCGGACGAGGACAGCGUCUCCCGUGCCACGCUGGCUGCCGAGCCUGCCCACUCGGAGGUCAGCACCGAUUCAGGCCACGACUCCUUGUUUACCCGCCCCGGCCUGGGUACCAUGGUGUUUCGAAGGAACUAUGUGAGCAGCGGCUUGCACGGGCUGGGCCGAGAGGACGGGGGCUUGGAUGGAGCAGGCACGCCGCGGGCUCGGCUGCAUAGUUCCCCCAGCCUGGACGACGACAGCCUGGGCAGUGCCAACAGCUUGCAGGAACGCAGUUGCGGGGAAGAGUUGCCUUGGGAUGAGCUAGACUUGGGUUUGGAUGAGGACCUGGAGCCGGAGACCAGCCCCUUGGAGACCUUCCUGGCCUCGCUGCACAUGGAGGACUUUGCCUCCCUCCUGCGGCACGAGAAGAUCGACCUGGAGGCCCUGAUGCUGUGCUCGGACCUCGACCUACGCAGCAUCAGCGUGCCACUGGGGCCUCGGAAGAAGAUCCUGGGGGCCGUGCGGAGGCGCAGGCAGGCUCUGGAGCGACCUCUGGCUCUGGAGGACACGGAGCUGUGAGUUUUGUAUGGAGGAGAGGUCCAACAGCAGUCUUGGAGGCACAGUCGUGGUUUUAGAAGCAAUCAUUGCUGCCCAAGCCAUUCUCUGCUCCUACCCAUUACAGCAUCCCACAAACCCACUGCCCACUGCCCAUGAGAGGGGUCCUCUCUUCACACCAAAUGAGUUGCAAGUUGCCACAACCCACGGUGGGCCAAGAGGUCCUCACCAUCGCCAUUCCAGCUGUCCCUUCUCUAGGAGCAAGGGUCACUCGGGUCAUUUCCCUUGGAAGCCUGGUCUGCAGUCCGGAGCAGAGGCGUAGCCUGAAAGCACCCGGAGAGACCACAGCACUCCAGAGCCCCACUUCUGAGGGGUGUUGGAGCCCUGCUUCUGAGGGGUGUUGGAGCCCCCACCCCUCCAGCCACCUUCCUUGAAAAGCCCUGAAUUACAAGAGGAUUGGUGGAGGGUCAGCCCCAGAAGGAGAUCAGGGGGGGCUGAUUGACAUCACAGCUGAGGUAGAGAGAGAGCAGGGGGGAGCUUGCCCAGUCACAGCUCCAUCACCUGCUCCAUCUGUCCUCUCCAGCCUUCUGCGGGUGUCUGGGGGUUCCUGUUCUUUCUCGGGCUGGAAACCUGUUGCUUCCUAGUUGCUAUAACAGAAGAGUUUGGGGGCCCCCUCCUCACGUCCCCAAGAAGGAGGUCCCCAGCCAGACUCUUCAGCCAAAUGCUCUUUCUUCCGCUCCCCAGCACAUUCCCUCGUCCAGAAGGCCAGUCCCCUCUUCAGCCACUGGCCAUGGCCACAGCUGGGAAGCCGGGCUGGGGUAGGCUGGAGUAAUCAGUACUCCUUUCAGCUCAUUCUGGGAGCCCAGACUGUCUCCUUUAGCUUCACCCCACUCCACUAUGAAGCCUGGUCUCCCCAGGGCUUUCAGAGGACCAGGGUCCUAGACACAAGGUACAGCAGAAUCGUGUCCCCGCCCAGGCCUGGAAGUCACAGCUGUCUGUAGAAUGGUAUCCGCUAACUGCCUCAGCGUCUCCCAGGCCUAGACAGGCAGGGGCUGGACACAGUCUGUGUCAGGCCCGGGCUGGGAAAGAUCUUGGGGGAUGUAGAGAGCCUGAGGUCCUGAUUGUGCCCAGGUUCCCAAAGCGUUCUCUCUCUCCCUCUCCCUCUCCCUCUCCCUCUCUCUCCCUC